rnacentral:rRNA from 1 species
AUUGAACGCUGGCGGCAGGCCUAACACAUGCAAGUCGAGCGGAUGAGAAGAGCUUGCUCUUCGAUUCAGCGGCGGACGGGUGAGUAAUGCCUAGGAAUCUGGCCUGGUAGUGGGGGACAACGUUUCGAAAGGAACGCUAAUACCGCAUACGUCCUACGGGAGAAAGCAGGGGACCUUCGGGCCUUGCGCUAUCAGAUGAGCCUAGGUCGGAUUAGCUAGUUGGUGAGGUAAUGGCUCACCAAGGCGACGAUCCGUAACUGGUCUGAGAGGAUGAUCAGUCACACUGGAACUGAGACACGGUCCAGACUCCUACGGGAGGCAGCAGUGGGGAAUAGUUGGACAAUGGGCGAAAGCCUGAUCCAGCCAUGCCGCGUGUGUGAAGAAGGUCUUCGGAUUGUAAAGCACUUU